UAUGCAUAGGGCCUCAACUGGAAGGCUGAAGAUGGGAAUCCUCUGAAAAGUUUUCACUUUCAUGUUGGUGAUUGAUACUGGCUGGAGGCUGCAGGCUGGAGACCUCAGCUCAACUCCCUGUAGACCUCUGCAGGUGGUCUCUUAAUGUGGACUUGGUUGGGCUCCUCACAGCAUGAGGGUUAGGUUCUAAGGAUGAAAGAAAGGGGAUACAUCGAAUUUGAGGUCUAUAGAAUUUAAUCAAAGGAUGAAUAUAAGGAUAUUGUUUUACCACCUGCAAUCCUGGAACACUAUGAGAUUCCCAGUGGGGAGCCCAAUGCAGAGCUUGAACUCACAACCUUGAGGUCAAGAGUCGGAAGCUUAACUGACUGAGCCACCCAGGUGCCCCACCUCUUGUUUCUUUAUCCAUGAAAUAAGUAUAAACAAUAGAAAAACCUCAAAGUGGAAAAAAAAAAUUGUUUAUGUCUGUUCCCCUGUUUUAUUGCAAGCUCUUUCAGGUCAGGGACUGUGUCUGCCCAAUCUUUGUAGCCUCAGAACCUAACACAGUGCUUGGCACAAGAUAAAUGCUCAUUAAACAUUUGUUAAGUAUUGUUGACUCAAUGGGCAGUAUUUAUCAUCUUGUAUUGGUAGAGUGUGGUCCUACAAUGUGUGCUUCGGGGUACAAUAUAUUGCUAAUGCAGUGAUGUGCUCAUAUAGUAUGUGAACCUGGGCUGUUUAAGAUACCACUACAUAUCACAUGGUGAAGGCCACAGGCUACUACCUGCCUUGAGAAUUCAGGAAUCCAAAGAUAUGAA